GAGAUGAUGGCUCAGUGGUUAAGAGCACUGACUGCUCUUCCAGAGGUCCUGAGUUCAAAUCUCAGCAACCACA
rnacentral:tRNA from 2 species